rnacentral:lncRNA from 1 species
AUCAUCUUCUCUAAUGUCCAUAAUUGUAAAAUCAGUUGGAAUGUAGAAUUGACCUAUGCGUACGGGAACGUUUUCAAGAAUUCCUACAGGAUAUUUGAUGGAACGAUCUGCUAGUUGCACAGACAUUUUGGUUGGUCUUAAUUCUCCCAUUUCCAGUUUCUUACAUAUGGAUAAAGGCAUAACGCUAAUUCCGGCUCCUAAAUCGCAUAAGGCUUUGUCGAUGAC